rnacentral:rRNA from 1 species
CCUACGGGUGGCUGCAGUCGAGAAUCAUUCACAAUGGGGGAAACCCUGAUGGUGCGACGCCGCGUGGGGGAAUGAAGGUCUUCGGAUUGUAAACCUCUGUCAUGUGGGAGCAAAUAAAAAAGAUAGUACCACAAGAGGAAGAGACGGCUAACUCUGUGCCCGGAGCCGCGGUAAUACAGAGGUCUCAAGCGUUGUUCGGAAUCACUGGGCGUAAAGGGUGCGUAGGCUGUUUCGUAAGUCGUGUGUGAAAGGUGCGGGCUCAACCCGCGGACGGCCCAUGAUACUGGGAGACUAGAGUUAUGGAGAGGGAGCCGGAAUUCUCGGUGUAGCAGUGAAAUGCUUAGAUAUCG